rnacentral:miRNA from 1 species
UCUGUCUCUUUAAGAGACAAGCCAUGGGGCUGGAGAGAUGGCUCAGAGGUUAAGAGCAUUGCCUGCUCUUCCAAAGGUCCUGAGUUCAAUUCCCAGCAACCACAUGG